rnacentral:tRNA from 1 species
GAGGAAGGACAGAGAUCAGUAAGUACUGCUAAUACUUAUACCGAGGCUAAAAUCCUCGGCUUCUUUA